rnacentral:lncRNA from 1 species
CCAUCGUGGCUGCAACAAUACAAAAUUGUGAGUUGUGCGGAGCUCAAGGUCAUACUAUCGCUGAAUGUCGACUUCUAACCGAAGCUCCCACCGACCAAGUGAAUUACACUCAAGGGAACUUUUACAACCAAAACCAGAGAAAUCACCCGUACCUUUCGUACAAUAGCAACAACGCUUUAUAUGCACCUGGCCAAGCACCUACUCCUUCGCCACCAGGAUUCCAAAAACCUGCUCAAAAUGCUCCUAUGAAGUCAAACCUUGAAUUGAUGAUGGAGAACUUCAUAGCCGUACAAACUCAAACUAACAAGGAAGUCCUAAAUCAAAACAUACACACUAGUGAG